UCCUCCAAUCGAUCCCCCUUUUCUCUCCCCUUGCGAAUGCCACACCGCCAUGGAUGCGUCCUUCAAGCACCCCAUGUUCAUCCCCUCUCUACCUCCCUACUGACGCAUGUCCUCACCAACGCCUCCCGCAAAGCCCGCGUUGAGCGCUGUUUAUUUCUACUCGAUGCAUGGGAAUCGGUGUCGUGAUCAGGGACCACAGAGGAACCCGCUUGGCUAUGUGCAGCGAGCAUCUUAGUUGGUUCCAACAUUUUUUCCCGCCGGUUGUAGCUUUUCAUGUCGCUGGUUUCAACUUUUGAUUUCGCCGGUCGCAACAAUCCCCCUUUUCGCCAGUAGCAACUUUUUGAUUCACACAUUGUAGCACUUUAUUUCGUCGGUAGUAGCUAUUUGCUAGGGGAAGGGGAUUGAUGAAUAUUUUUUUGCUACAACCAUGUACUCGUACCACGGAAGCCUCAACCAUAUGUACCAGAGCUGCAAACUGUGUACACCAGAGCUACAAGCGGAGACGCAUGUCGCCAGCGAGGCUGCAACCGGCACGGGCAGUGCCACAACCAGUGUCCAGCGAGCUGCAAGCGACACAACUGCAAGCUUCAAACCUGGUGGAUCACCAUGCCGGCAAGGGGAGCUGCAACCAUGGUGGCGAGUUGAUGGAACCUUCUUUUAUUUUUGCGACAACCGACCAAAAUUUUUGCUACGCUCCGGCGAUGAAGGUCCAUGGUUUUGUUGGAA